ACCUUGAUAUUUUAGCGCGGAUGUAUACCUAGCCGAAUUGCACAGUAGAGGGCGAGAACGAGUCUUCGAACCUGUGUGUAUGCCUUGUGUAUGAAAUUACCACAAGUGACCCAUCUUACAAACUACCUGCGAGGCCAACUAUUAUGAGGAGAAUACAUGACCAGCACGCCGCAGAGAAAGCCGCAAAAGAUGAGAAGAUGGUAGAGGCGAGGUGUGUAGCACUGACUGGGUACCAUUGGACAUCUGUCAACAACGAUAACUACCUCGGCGUUACUGUACACCUUAUCGAUGCCAGCUGGGAACUUCACUCCUUCGCUUUAGGUGUGAUGAAAACAGAGGAGCGUCACUUUGCAGAAGCGUGUGCCAGGCAGUUUCUCGACGUCGCUAAUCAGUGGGGGAUAGCUGACAAAAUCAGCACUAUUGGAACAGACAGCACUCCUAAUAUGGUGGCAGCAGGGAGGAUACUGCCAUUCGAGCAUUUGCCCUGUGUUGCGCAUGUUGUACAGAGAGCUAUUGUAAUGUCACUUCGGGAAGGUGGUUUUGAUGGUGCACUGGCCAAGUGCCGUAAAGUGGUCGGACAUUUCAAACACAGUCCGGCCAACUAAAAAAAAGCUACUGACUGUAAACAGUUCAUCACGACCUCUUAUGUAGGCCUACAGUUCAAAAUUCAUGUUUAACUGAAUAAACAUUUAGUAAACACAA